UUACACACUUGUGCCACUUUAGCUAUAGACUGCUACUAAUAGGCACUAAGCACUGCACUUGUAAGAGAGAGAGAGAAAGUGGUAGCUGAGGAGGAGGAGGCGGAGCACAAGUGCUACUCCUACGUCGAAAGUUUUUCCGCUUUUCCCUUUUUCUCCUUCUAUUUAAUCCAAAACAUUCUCUCUUCUUCUUCCUGAAUGUAUGAACAACUGGAUUCCUACUUAAUUUUCCCUCUGUUUACACUGAUUUCUUCUCAGUGUUGGUAAAAUGCUGGUUUGAUUUGUUAUCAUUGUCAUGAUGGAUGACCAGGCCAGUCAGCUGCUAUAGAGAAAAAUUGGCUACUUUCGAUGUAAAGGAAAAACGGGAAGUAUCUUUGUUGACUACAGGAGUGUUGUUCAUAUGGCAAGGAGUUAUGGGCCUUACUUUGAUCCUGAAUACGAGACCUUAAGUAUCAGAAUAAAUCCUCCAAGGGUAUCUGUGGACAAUGCGACUUGCAGGGAUUGUACUCUAGUGAAGGUUGACAGUAUCAACAAACCUGGAAUACUGCUGGAAGUGGUGCAAAUCCUAUCAGACCUCGAUCUUGUAAUUACCAAAGCCUACAUAUCCUCUGAUGGUGGGUGGUUCAUGGAUGUAUUUCAUGUUACUGAUCAACAUGGAAACAAGGUUACAGACAACAAUACUAUUGGUCAUAUAGAAAAGGCUCUAGGACCUGAAGGUUACACAUCAGGCAUAUUGAAGACAUGUCCAGGUAGAAAGGUAGGAGAGAACUCUAUGGGUGAUUAUACCACCAUUGAGCUAAUAGGCAGGGAUCGUCCAGGCCUUCUAUCAGAAAUUUCUGCUGUUCUAGCCAAUCUUCAUUUUAAUGUCGCUGCUGCCGAGGUUUGGACUCAUAAUGGGCGCAUAGCAUGUGUCCUUUAUAUCAAUGAUAAUUGUUCAUCCCUUGAUGAGGAUGAAGAAUCCAGAUUGUGUGUCAUGGAAGAGCAACUCAAUAACAUUCUUCGUGGGCGUGAGGAUGAUGAGAGUGGGGCUCAUGCUACUUUCUCAGUUGGUAGUACUCAUGUUGAUCGGAGGCUUCAUCAGAUGUUUUUUGCUGAUAGGGACUACGAAGGUGGUUGUCUCGAAAUGGAGAUAGAAUACCCUCCUAACUCCAAACCAGACGUCAGAAUUGAAAGCUGUGUCGAGAAAGGGUACUCAGUGGUCAGUGUAAGUUGCAAGGAUAGAGCAAAGCUUAUGUUUGACAUUGUAUGCACCCUCACAGACAUGCAGUAUGCUGUUUUCCAUGCCACUAUCUCAUCAGAUGGUCCCUCUGCAUCACAGGAAUAUUUUAUUCGCCACAUGGAUGGUUGCACUCUGGAAUCUGAAGCGGAGAAGGAGAAGGUUGUGAAGUGUAUUGAAGCUGCUAUUCGGCGAAGGAUAAGUGAGGGCUUCAGCUUUGAGUUGUGUGCCAAGGACCGAGUUGGCUUACUUUCUGAAGUUACGAGAGUCCUACGAGAAAAUGGGCUAUCAGUGACUAGAGCUGGUGUUACAACUAUUGGGGAGAAAGCAAAGAAUUUCUUCUACGUAAGAGAUGCGUCUGGAAACCCUGUAGAGAUGAAGACGAUUGAAAGACUGCGUGAAGAAAUUGGACAGACAAUGAUGCUUAACGUGAAGAAAGACCCAACAUCUGCAAAGGCACCUGAAACUGGUGGUCUGGCUAAGACAAGCUUUUUCUUCGGAGGCUUACUGGAAAAGUUCCGAACCUGAAACUUCAUCUACAACUACUUGUAUAGCAGAAUAAAGCACUUAUAUAUAAAUGUGGCAAGGUUUCCCUGUAAAAACCUGUAGAUACAUUGGACAAUUAUCCUUGUCGGGAUAAACAAGGGAAAAAAAGAAGUAGUCCCUUUCAGUCUUAUUCUAUGCUGAAGUUUGGAAGAUUACGCGAUGACCGUGUGUUGUUCUUGCACAAUAAAAGAUGAAGAUCUAUACAUUGCUGAUGACACUAUGACUUUGCAUUGGAGCUUUCGUCAAGAAAUGCAGUGUUGUGGAUUUAAUUUGAGCAGAAUGACAACUAACACCGAGAUCGAGAUCUAUUCGCGACAUGAAAUUGUUACUGAUCAUAUUUUGUCAAGGUUGCCUGUGGCGAUUCAAAUGUGUAUGCAAAAUCUGGAACGACCUUAUCAAUAGCUCGAGUUUCGUGGAAAAACACUUCAACAGUGAGAGUAAUCGUCUCCGUCUAUUGAUUAUCAAGUUUGGUCUUAACUACCAGAAAGUCCCGUGUGUAAGACCUUUCGAUACGUACUUGCUCCCUGAUAAAAUAUUCAGCGGAUGUGUCCCUGCUCAUAAGCUGAUUUAUCACGUUGGUGAUAUCUGGUGCAUUUAUGGUCCAAUUGAUGGAUUGUUGUUAUUAGAGAAAGGAAAUUACAUAGACGAUGGACGAUUUGGCUGGUGGAACCCUGCAACGAAAGAGUGUAGGCUUAUACCUCAUGUUUUUUUCGAGGUAGAAGAAGGUUUGGAAGACAAUGAUCGUAGAAUAGGAAUAGGAAUAGACUUAGCUACUCAUGACUACAAAAUCAUUUGGGUAAGAACGUAUUGGAAUGACUAUGAGAGUGACAUUUUCCCCAAGGUUUAUGCAGCUGUCUAUUCGACGAAAAACAACUCAUGGAAGCACUUGGACCCUAAUUUCUCACACGAAUGUCAAAUAUGCAGCUCCCAUAAUUGCACCUACAAGAAUGGUACGUACUAUUGGAUUAGUACUAGCAAGAAGUGUAUCGCGGAAGGGAUAAACGUGUAUUUUAUACGUACAUUUGAUUUUUCAACUGAUUUGUUUGGGAGAUUUGAAGGACCACCAAUUCCAGGUGAACAUUGGGUAACUUUAUUUUUACGAGGUGGUUCAAUUGCAACAAUGUCUAGUAAAGAUGUUACACAAGCAAUGGUAGCUUUUUAUGAUAUUUGGGUAAAUAUUCAAGGAAAUCAUUGGAUUAAAGUUUAUACAGUGAAUCCACCAAUAACAGAUCAUACGUGUAUUGGAAUGUGGGAGUAUGAUAAGUUUAUUUAUGAACUAACACAGAGUUGUAAAGUGUUGUUUUAUGAUCAAACAUCUAAACAAGUUACAAGUCUUGGAUUUGA